UACGGGGGGAGCAAGCGUUGUUCGGAUUUACUGGGCGUAAAGGGCUCGUAGGCGGCCAACUAAGUCGGAUGUGAAAUCCCCAGGCUUAACCUGGGAACUGCAUCCGAUACUGGAUGGCUUGAAUCCGGGAGAGGGAUGCAGAAUUCCAGGUGUAGCGGUAAAAUGCGUAGAUAUCUGGAGGAAUACCGGUGGCGAAGGCGGCAUCCUGGACCGGCAUUGACGCUGAUGAGCGAAAGCUAGGGGAGCAAACGGG
rnacentral:rRNA from 1 species